rnacentral:rRNA from 1 species
CUACGGGGGGCACCAGUGGGGAAUAUUGCACAAUGGGCGCAAGCCUGAUGCAGCAACGCCGCGUGAGUGAAGAAGGCCUUCGGGUCGUAAAACUCUGUCCUAAGGGAAGAAUAAUGACGGUACCUUAGGAGGAAGCCCCGGCUAACUACGUGCCAGCAGCCGCGGUAAUACGUAGGGGGCAAGCGUUAUCCGGAAUCACUGGGCGUAAAGGGUGCGUAGGCGGCCUGUCAAGUCAGAAGUGAAAGGCUAUGGCUCAACCAUAGUAAGCUUUUGAAACUGAUGGGCUUGAAUACAGGAGAGGUAAGUGGAAUUCCUAGUGUAGCGGUGAAAUGCGUAGAGAUUAGGAGGAACACCAGUGGCGAAGGCGACUUACUGGACUGUUAUUGACGCUGAGGCACGAAAGCGUGGGGAGCGAACAGGAUUAGAUACCCGUGUAGUC